UACGUAGGGUGCGAGCGUUAAUCGGAAUUACUGGGCGUAAAGCGUGCGCAGGCGGUUCGUUAAGACAGAUGUGAAAUCCCCGGGCUUAACCUGGGAACUGCAUUUGUGACUGGCGAGCUAGAGUAUGGCAGAGGGGGGUAGAAUUCCACGUGUAGCAGUGAAAUGCGUAGAGAUGUGGAGGAAUACCGAUGGCGAAGGCAGCCCCCUGGGCCAAUACUGACGCUCAUGCACGAAAGCGUGGGGAGCAAACAGG
rnacentral:ncRNA from 4 species